rnacentral:rRNA from 1 species
UACGUAGGUGGCAAGCGUUGUCCGGAAUCAUUGGGCGUAAAGCGCGCGCAGGCGUCGAUCUACGUCUGGGGUGAAAGCCCGGAGCUCAACUCCGGGACUGCCUUGGAUACGGGAUCGCUUGAGGAUUGGAGAGGCAAGGGGAAUUCCACGUGUAGCGGUGAAAUGCGUAGAGAUGUGGAGGAACGCCUGUGGCGAAGGCGCCUUGCUGGCCAAUUACUGACGCUGAGGCGCGAAAGCGUGGGGAGCAAACAGG